GUGGCUUCCAAAGAACAUUUGCAAACUGGAACAGGUUUGUGGUGUUCGGGAGUCAAAACAUUUGACUCGCAAGGCAUUUGACUUCUGAGGUAUGACUGUAUCUGUAAACAAACACUAAACGUCCAUAAAAAUGGUGAAAAUAGUUUCUUUCCCAAAUUGGUUUUAUCUUAAACAAUAGCAAAUGCAGUAAAUAGAGAGUUCACUUGUAAUAUAUAUAGGCCAAGUUAGUUGUGACAGAUUUAAACCUCAUUGAUUUCAAUGGGCCUUAAGCAUGAGUUUGAUUGGGAUAGCUGAUUGUGAGGGUCCUUUAUUCUACUGAUACUGCUUCAGUUUAGUAUCUGAACAGUACAAGUUAAAACUUGGUAAUUUAAUGAAAUUAGGGGGCCUUUUACACAUCUUUCCUAUAUUGCUUUACUGCCUAUAACAGGGACAAGUGAAUAAGUAUAUUUCUCAUUAAUAUCACUUCAGUAUAUGUUCAAGUCAUGUGUCCAUCUAUAUUAGCCUGCAAAUUUUUCUCUAAAAGUCUGCAGGAAAAUUCACAUUUAAACAUGUAUUUUUUUAAAAGGGCCUUUCUCUCAAAAUGCACAUUUUAAAUGUUAUUUGCUGUCAAAAUAUACAUUUCAAGUACAUGUUGUUGAUGUAUUUAUUUUUUUGGUGGUGUUUGAGCCAAGAGCAGUAUCAGAAGAUUUGGGAACUAAAAAAGCCAUUGGUUAAAUUGGAACUGAACAUUAUUUCAAUACUUGCAAUUCAAAACAAGACCAGUUGACAUCAGAAUUCAGAAUGAAUGGAUUUCUCCAGCAUUCCUAGCCUACUGUAAAUAAAUUGUGAUAUCCUUGCUGCUAACACCUAGAAUCCAGCUUUUGCAGUAGUAUCACAAACCACCCUAAAUAUGCCAGUGCAGGCUAAAUCCUGUACAUCACAAUGGGUAGACAUGAUGGCCUAUUUGCAAGCUGGAAACCAAUGAGGAAAGGUUUAUUACCCCAGUUGAACCUUGAAGGCUGAAGUAGUAGUUCAGACAGGCCCUGCUCUUCAUUAAAGUAGUUUACAUUUAUUAAAAUGACUCAUUAUGCAAAACAACAAGUUGAUCAUACAGUGGUGCUAUUGCCUUAGGCUUAUUUGUUUAUUAUUUUUCUAUUUUAUUGCAUUUAUAUCCCCACCCACUUUUAUCCAAGGAGCUCAAGGGGGUGUACUCAGCCUCUUGGGCUUGCUGAUCAGAAGGUCGGCAGUUCAAAUACCCGCAAUGGGGUGAACUUUCAUUCCUCUGUCCCACUUUCUGCCAACCUAUCAGUUUGAAAGCACACCAGUGCAAGUAGAUAAAUAGGUAUUGCUGCGGCGGGGAGGCAAACACCAUUUCCAUGUGCUCUGGUUUCCAUCACGGUGUUCCGUUGUGCCAGAAGUGGUUUAGUCAUGCUGGGCACAUGACAGGGAAAGCUGUCUGUGGAUAAACCCUGGCUCCCUUGGCCUGAAAAGCGAGAUGAGUGCUGUACCCCAUAGUUGCCUUUGACUGGACUUAACCAUCCAGGGGUCCUUUACCUUUUUUACCUUUUUAACAUAGUUCUAUCUCUUCCUCAUUUAAUCCCCACAACAACCCUGUGAGAUAGGUUAGGCUGAGAGGUAGUGACAGGCCCAACGUUAUCCAGUGAGUUUCAUGGCUGAAUGGGGAUUUGAACCCUCGUCUCCCAGGUUCUAGUCCAACACUCUAACCCAGGCAUAGGCAAACUCCGGCCCUCCAGAUGUUUGGGACUACAAUUCCCAUCAUCCCUAGCUAACAGGACCAAUGGUCAGGGAUGAUGGGAAUUGUAGUCCCAAACAUCUGGAGGGCUGGAGUUUGCCUAUGCCUGCUCUAACCACUAUACUGCACUGACUUAUUUAUACCCACCGCCACCCCCACCAACAACUCUCCACUUCUUCCUUUAACAUUCUGCCGCAUCCGAGUAUUGGAAACAGACAGAGCCCAUUUUUGAUGUGGUUAGAUUCUUUUCAAGGUGUGAAAUUGGUAUGUGCCAACAACAAAGGGAAACAUUUCUUUUAAUAUUACAUUUUCAUUCCACUUGAAACAGUAUUGCUCACUGGCUCAAAGCCAAAAAAACAGAGUGAGAAAUAUUUCAGGGCAUAUGAGUGUAAUAUAUAUAAAAAAAUUAAUCCUGGACUAACAAUGGAUUAAACAAGUGGGACAUCGUUUGUGUUAGAUCACAAGGAAGGGUAUCAAAAAUAGAGGCGAUAGUUUUGAAACAACAACCAGCAGUGAAAAGUUUACUUCUAAUGUAAACCAGACAGUCCAAAAUAAUUUGUGGUUUGUUUAAUUCUUACCGUUCGUCCUGUGUUCUUUUGAGUAAGUUAAACCCAUAUAACAUCCCCAGCUGGUUCUCAUUUUCAUUCUGGAUCUUUAGUAUGCUGAAAACUCUAGGCAGUGUCAGGGAGAGUUGGGGAGGGAGGGAGAGAGUCGUUUUUGUAAAUAGAAGUAAGUGCUUUAUAUGGUAGGUGCAUUUGGGGAAAAACAUGUUAAUAUAUUAGAAUAAAUUACUCUUCUGUCUUUAUCUCCUUAUAUUUGAGCAAACAUCAAUUGCAGGCAGGCCAUGUGAAAAGAAUGCCUUUAAAAUGCAUGGCAAGUGUGCACCCACACAAAACCAUUACUGUAACAAAACCAGCUGUGUGUAAUAGAAAGCAAAUGAUUUAUAGUGUUACUUAAGACACUACUUUAUUUUACAUUAUCAUAAAAAGAACAGAACUGAGAAUUUGCAUGACAAACACAAGGACCCAGCAACUUCCAAAUCAAAUUUAUUUAAUUUUGGGUGUGGGGGUGGGGAGGCGUAUCUGUGCGUUAAUAGGUAUUAAGCUAUGAAGGUGGAUUGUUAAGUAUUAAAACAGUAUUUCCAGGGAGUUUAGUUGCUGGAUGUAAUUCCAACUGAUCUAAUGAAAGGGAGGGAAUAUAAGCAGUCAGUUUGGAAAGACUCUGAGAAUUUAAUUUGGUCUCAUUGAGGUUUAUUUACAGGUCAUAGUUCAUUAGAACCUCAUCAGCUGGAAUCUCUUUCCUGUCUUCUGACGAGAUACAUGGGUAUCUUGAUGGACCAGGUUAAUGGGAGAGAGCUCUGAGCUGCCUAGACUUCCCCCUCUUGAUCCCACCAAGUUCCACCCCUGUCCAUAACUAAAAAUGACACAUCACCGAUAGGUGGUAGUGAACUAGCCCUGCGUAGAAAUAUUAUUAUUAUUAUUAUUAUUAUUAUUAUUAUUAUUAUUAUUAAUUCCCGAGCCACUCUGGGCAGCUUCCAACAAAAUAUUAAAAUACAGUAGUCCAUCAAACAUUAAAAGCUUCCAUAAAUGAAAGGGAUCAUGGGAAUGCAAUCUUUUGUAAGCAAUUACUCCAUUUCCCCUUAAUUCUCGAAUACUGUGAGAUGCCCUCACACUAUAAGGAGACUAGUGGCACUGGUACCUUAUUUGCUUAUUUCUUUCUUGGUUUAUUUUUGGCACUUUAGAUACUGCCUUUUAUCCAUGCCCUCUGGGUGGGUGACAUUUUUUUUAUAAAAAACAAUAAAAUGGGAUUAAAAGUAUAAUAUCAAUAUAAAUACCCACAUGAAGCCAACACUUGUGGCAUAAAAUCAUUCUAAAACAGCAUUCAGUCCUAAGAAAAAUGAUUUGUCUCUUAGAAAGCCUGGAAGGUUAAAAAGGUAUUUUAACUGGGGCAGAAAAUAUUUCAACCUAGGCACCAAGGUAGGUGUGUGUGUGUGUGUGUGUGUGUGAGAGAGAGAGAGAGAGAGAGAGAGAGAGCUCUCAUACACACAUUUCUGCCUUAACAACAAGCCAUCAAGAUUGCUGAACUAGUCAUUUAUAACCUGAAGCUUUUUGGUGUUUGACCUACAACGAGAACAAAAUACAGACGGGGGUCAGAAUGCCUAAAUUUAAAGUACUACAAGGCUGAAGUAAAUCAUAGGACGGACUAUCCAGAACAGUACUAAAAAUAUUGUAGCCUUUUGUUAAUGAUACACAAAGAGUCUGUCUGUCUGAAUUUGGCACUUCAUUCUGAAUAAACAAUAUGUCACAUUGUUACUCCCCCCCUUUCUUUAUAAGAAUAUUUAAAAACAGCCACCCUGUAAAAAAAAUAUAACAGCAUACCAUCAAAUCAUUAAAACAUAGAAUCAUAGAGUUGGAAGAGACCACAAGGGCCAUCGAGUCCAACCCCCUGCCAAGCAGGAAACACCAUCAGAGCACUCCUGACAUAUGGUUGUCAAGCCUCUGCUUAAAGACCUCCAAAGAAGGAGACGCCACCACACUCCUUGGCAGCAAAUUCCACUGUCGAAACAGCUCUUACUGUCAGGAAGUUCUUCCUAAUGUUUAGGUGGAAUCUUCUUUCUUGUAGUUUGGAUCCAUUGCUCCGUGUCUGCUUCUCUGGAGCAGCAGAAAACAACCUUUCUCCCUCCUCUAUGUGACAUCCUUUUAUAUAUUUGAACAUGGCUAUCAUAUCACCCCUUAACCUCCUCUUCUCCAGGCUAAACAUGCCCAGCUCCCUUAGACGUUCCUCAUAAGGCAUCGUUUCCAGGCCUUUGACCAUUUUGAUUGCCCUCCUCUGGACACGUUCCAGUUUGUCAGUGUCCUUCUUGAACUGUGGUGCCCAGAACUGGACACAGUACUCCAGGUGAGGUCUGACCAGAGCAGAAUACAGUGGCACUAUUACUUCCCUUGAUCUAGAUGCUAUACUCCUAUUGAUGCGGCCCAGAAUUGCAUUGGCUUUUUUAGCUGCCGCGUCACACUGUUGGCUCAUGUCAAGUUUGUGGUCAACCAACACUCCUAGACCCUUUUCACAUGUACUGCUCUCAAGCCAGGUGUCACCCAUCUUGUAUUUGUGCCUCUCAUUUUUUUUGCCCAAGUGCAAUACUUUACAAUUCUCCCUGUUAAAAUUCAUCUUGUUUGUUUUGGCCCAGUUCUCUAAUCUGUCAAGGUCGUUUUGAAGUGUGAUCCUGUCCUCUGGGGUGUUAGCCACCCCUCUCAGUUUGGUGUCAUCUGCAAAUUUGAUCAGGAUGCCCUUGAGUCCAUCAUCCAAGUCAUUGAUAAAGAUGUUGAAUAAGACCAGGCCCAAGACAGAACCCUGUGGCACCCCACUAGUCACUCUUCUCCAGGAUGAAGAGGAACCAUUGAUGAGCACCCUUUGGGUUCGGUCCAUCAGCCAGUUACAAAUCCACUGAGUGGUAGCAUAGUCAAGACCGCAUUUUACCAGCUUCUUUACAAGAAUAUCAUGGGGCACCUUGUCAAAUGCCUUGCUGAAAUCAAGGUAGGCUACAUCCACUGCGUUCCCUUCAUCUACCAGGCUUGUAAUUCUGUCAAAAAACAAGAUCAGGUUAGUCUGACAUGACUUAUUUUUCAGAAAUCCAUGCUGACUAUUGGUGAUCACAGCAUGCCUUUCUAGGUGCUCACAGACUGUUUGCUUAAUGAUCUGCUCCAGAAUCUUCCCUAGUAUUGAUGUCAGACUGACUGGGCAGUAAUUAUUUGGGUCCUCUCUUUUCCCCUUUUUGAAAAUAGGGACAACAUUUGCCCUCCUCCAGUCUGCCGGGACUUCGCCGGUUCUCCUGGAAUUCUCAAAGAUGACUGCCGGUGGUUCUGAGAUCACAUCUGCCAGUUCUUUUAAUACUCUUGGAUGCAGUUCAUCUGGCCCUGGGGACUUGAAUACAUCUAAACUAGCCAAGUAUUCUUGUACUAUCUCCUUAGUUAUUCUGGGCUGUGUUUCCUCUGCUGAAUCAUUUGCUCCAAAUUCUUCAGGUCGGGCAUUGUUUUCUUUAUCGGAGAAGACUGAGGCAAAGAAGGCAUUGAGGAGUUCAGCCCUUUCUGUGUCCCCUGUUUGCAUUUCACCAUCUUCUCCUCUGAGUGACCCCACUGUUUCUUUGUUCUUCCUUUUGCUACGAACAUACCCAUAAAAGCCUUUUUGUUGCUUUUAACCUCUCUAGCAAGCCUGAGUUCAUUCUGUGCUUUAGCUUUUCUGACUUUGUGUCUACACGUGCUGGCUAUUUGUUUGAAUUCCUCUUUGGUGGUUUCCCCCCUUUUCCAUUUUUUGUACACAUCCUUUUUUAAUCUUAACUCAGUUAAAAGUUCUUUAGAUAGCCACCCUGGCUUCUUUAGGCACCUUCCAUGUUUCCGUCUCAUUGGUAUUGCCUGAAGUUGUGCUUUUACUAUCUUCCUCUUAACAAACUCCCAGCCAUCAUGAACUCCCUUUCCUUUUAGUAUUACUGUCCAUGGGAUCUCACCCAGCACUUCCCUAAGUUUUAUGAAGUCGGCUUUCUUAAAGUCAAGAAAUUGAGUCCUAGUAUGCUUGGCUGCUCCUUUCCGCUGUAUAGUAAACUUCAGAAGAGCAUGAUCACUCGCGCCUAAUGAUCCUUCCACUUCUACCCCACUAACCAGGUCAUCAACAUUGGUUAGGACCAGAUCUAAAAUGGCUGUUCCUCUUGUUGCUUCUCCCACUUUCUGGACAAUGAAGUUGUCUGCAAGGCCAGUGAGGAAUCUGUUUGACCUUAUGCUCUUGGCUGAGUUUGACAUCCAACAAAUAUCCGGGUAAUUGAAGUCCCCCAUUACUACUAUCUCUCUUCCUUUUGCAUGCUUGGCCAUCUGUUCCAGGAAGGACUCAUCUAUGUCCUCCGUUUGGCUUGGGGAUCUAUAGUAAACUCCCACAAUGAGGUCACUGUUAUUCUUCUCUCCCUUAAUUUUGACCCAAAUGCUCUCACUUUGGCUUUGAGGUUCUAAAUCUUGGAUCUCUUCACAGGUAUACACAUCCCUGACAUAUAACGCCACUCCUCCUCCUUUCUUGUCUGGUCUGUUUCUCUGAAAUAGAUUGUAUCCCUCCAUUAUUACAUUCCAAUCGUGGGACUUAUCCCACCAGGUUUCAGUGAUGCCUAUUAUGUCAUAUUUAGUUUGCUGUACCAAGAGCUCAAGCUCAUCUUGUUUAUUUCCCAUGCUUUGCGCAUUGGUGUACAGACAUUGAAGUCCAUUUCCGCUGUAUAGUAAACAUAAAUUUAUGAUUUUUGUAAGCAUAACAUACAAAAGAAGUCACUAACACUGAAUCAGAUUCUCUAACAGAAACAUUUGUGAAACACAAAUGUUUUCAGCAGGAAACAAAAUAUCAAAAUUGUAGAUGCCUGCCUGGUUACAGUGGGAACAGUGUUCCAAAAUCCUGGUGUCACACAGUUCACAUAGAAACUAAACAAUCAGGAGUUAAUGGUGAGACAGGCAGGAGGGCUUAUCCAGAUGAUCACUGUGAUCUAGGUAGUAAUUCAGGUAAUCUGGUCUAAGGCUGUUUGAAACUUUAUUCACUGGAAGUUAUUCAAAUAGAUUUUAUUCUUCCAUUGUGCUCAUUCUACAUAUCACUAUAAAAAAACUACAUUUCAAAACAAGACAAAAUCAAUGCACACUGAUGCACACAGAAGCUAUAUGAAGACAUUAUAAGGCUGCAAACCUGUGCCCACAUUUUCUGGGAUAGGCCCCAUUGAAAACAGGUCUUAUUAUUUAUAAACUUCUGGUCCUACACAUCCAAAGGAUUUCACUUUGAGUGUGCAGAGCUAUCAAUGGUAAUAUUUUUAAUUAAAUUUUAACUCAAGCAUCUAUUGGUUUCUCCAAAGGAAACCUAUAUAUUGCCCAAUAUAAUACCUUACUGUAAAAAAAAUACGACAAACAUGAUAUAUAAAGAAGACGAAAGAUUGUCUCUAGGGAACUCAAAACUUUCUUAAAUGAAAAUCAAUUUAUAGUGUUGAUUUAAAUUGAAAGUCAGGAAGGAAUGCAUCAUAUUUCAAAGUAUGAAGGUACAUAGAACAUCCAGUGGGUGCUUUUGGUGCACUUUGAGCCAAGAGGAAUAAGUUUGUUUGUGCCAUUAUCUCAUACAUGAUACAUAUUUCAGUGCGUCCUUGCCUCCUAACAGAAGUGUCCCUGUUCAGGCUCUGGAGCUUGAGAUGCAGGGCAUUCUAUUUCCCUUCAUCUUUAUUCCUUCUUCAACAGUCCAGUGAGGAGGAAUUAGCAUGCUCAGUCCUCAUUGGGUUGUUUUGGGGUUCUUCCCACCCCCUAUAUAGGAUUGUGUGCUUUUAGUGGUUGAAAAUUGGUGGUUUUGAAAAUUGCUUUGUAUGUAUGCAAACCUGAAGAAUUCCCUGAAUGUGCUGGUGCCUUCCACUUGAUUCUCACUGUCCCUGUUUGGGCUCUAUUUCUGUAAGCACUAACUAUCUGAGCUUUCUAUUGACAAUCCUUCUUUAUGGAAAUAAUAUAUUGGCUUUCAAAGCUGGCAGAAUGCAAAAGGCUGAGGGGGUCGCCAAGAAAACGCUGGACUUAAAGUGUAUGGAAUUUUCAUUCUGAAACGGCUAAGCAUUAAAGGACAGGGUGGGGCAGUGUACAGAGAAAGAGUUCACCUAUUGGAUGAACACUGUUCUUGUCCUGAAUGCUGCACUGACAGCGUGUCCAAGUUCUGUACAACGAAAAAUGGUUAAGAUCCUUGAUGCUUCUUCAUCCAGAGCCAAUUCCUCCUCUGGUGUACUUGGAGCCUUGUUUUGUUAUGGUUUACAGAUGUUGAGGGUCAUCGAAUGUACACAUAUGAGGAACAUAGGAAGCUGAGUCAGACCUGUCUUCCCUGGCCCUACCUGGAGAUGCCAAGAAUUGAACAUGGGACUUCCUGUAUGCAAAGCAAGUGCUCUACCACUGAGCUACAGGCCCUUCCCCUAAUAUUAGAAGAGGGUGUGCGUGUGGGUGGGUGUGCAGUGAUACUGGUAUUGACAUUGCCUGUUUCUCAGUCCAAAACUGUUUUCUCAUGUUGGAGUGCUGGAGUCAGCAAAGACCAGGACUGGCUCUUGUCAGUAAGAAUGGAAGCUGCUGAUGGUGGAGAGGGUAGCUUUUCAUUCAUUUUUCUGUUCCAGUUCCAGGAUGGCACAGCUGAGGAGCCAAACAGCCAAGACUUCCAGCACUCUGUCUCUGCCCCAAACACCUCAAUUGGGAGCUUUCCAUUGGGGGGAUAGCCCACUGGCAAUUCUUUACUACCCUCUACUACAGUUAUCCCCCUCCAUCAUCACAAUUUCUCUCCAGGCCUGAGCUACAACUGCCCCCCUCCCAGCACUCACAAAGAAGUGCUCGUAGCAUUGCAACCUUGGACUAAAUUUCCAAGGCAAGCAAUUAAGGUUUUAAGUAAAUUUUCUGUGCCAUGCUGACAAAAAAAAAGUAAUCAGUAGGCACUUUAAGCAAAAGGAAUGCUUUGACUAGACAUUUUCCUUGUUUCUUAACAUUCUUAGUCCAAUUCAGCUGGACUAUUUCAGUUGGAUGAACGUAAGAUUAAUUUGGGUUGGGUGUAAGGAUAAAUCUCUGACACUUAUAGUUUCAGAAAACUAUUAAGUCUAGCUAUUCACUUAAUUAAAGAAUAAUGCUUUAAGGACUGGACUGCCAUCAACAGGGGACAGCCACAUGGGAAAGUUCAGAUUGUAUCUCUCACUCAGGCUAGGGUUUGUAUCUCCCCUUUCUAAUUGUUGCAAUAAAAGUAUUGCUACUCUAUUUUGCAGUCACCUCACAUAUUUGUAAAAGCCAAGGUGGAUGUUGGAUGGAAGAAUCUGACAAAACGUGUUAUUAGAAGUAGACCAGAUACAUAGAUGUCUGCUUCUGGGACAAGGCAGUUGCUGGUGGAGUGUAUCCAGGAUUUGGCAUGCGGGUGUUUAGAAGAGCAGCUCUCAAAUUCACCCCAACAAAUUAAGUAUAGAACUCUUUUAAGAAAGAAAAAAGUGAAUUCUAAUGCUCUUUUCCUCCAACUGCAGGAAGCACGGUCUCUUUUGUAUCCAUUGUAAAAUGACUAUUCAGGCUAUACAACUUUCCUUUCUGCCAAACACAAGGCCCUCAACAAAUGGUAUCAGGAUGCAGUGCGAGUCACCAGGAUCCUGACCCAGUUGGUUAGUCACUUGGGUGAAGCAGCACCCAUUUAAUUUAGGCUGAUUUUAGUCAUACGAGGAAACCGAUAAGGUACUGUAUGAAUUGAACCUAGGCCCAUUUUCAAGUUCCAGACUAGGCUAGUAAGGGCGAAUGGAUUUCUAAUACUAAAUUAUGAUCCCUCAAACUUCAUAUACCAAUCAAAGGCCAGAUUUCCCUGGCCUAAAUCCAUGGUAACUCCAACACUGACUUUCAAUAAAAGUUCCUCAGAAUUUAUAAUAAUGCAAAUGGCAAAAAGAUUUGGCCCUAAUGUAGCAAUUUAUUGGCCUCAAUUAGAGUUUCCCAGUUCAAUCUCCAACUAAUCUGCCUAAAGCUAAUUUAUAUUCAUAUGACGAGAACAUAUCCAAGAUUUGUUUCCAAUAUUCUUCUAACACUUGUGAGUGCCAAAGUAAAUUCAGACAAUUCCCAUGGCCCUUGCAAUCAUUUUUGAUUUGGGGGUCAGAAAGAAGAUGCUCAACAAGCUAUUUGGAAUGAGUGAAACACUGAAUCAUUCUUAUCUUGGCAAAGAAUGGGAUAGUACUUGCCUCCAGCCAGACCACAGCAGCCAUUUUAUGUACAAAUUCAAGAACCAUUUUUCCCCCACAACAUACUACGUUGGAAUUUUUCUAUUUGAAUUGUUACUGUAUGUGGGUCGGGGGGGAGGGAUUCCUCAGAUUAUCUGGAACCACACCAUGGUCCAAACAUGCUCUCUUUGUACACACCCAAUUCAUUUAGAUUCAGCAACGUUCUCAAUUACUUCAUCAUUCAACAUUUGUAUGACUCUGUUUCAGUGCACUCCCCAGUAUUCCAAAACUGAAAAUAGGGUUGAGUACUUUAUAUAUGAUCCUUGUUUUCAGAGCCAGGAUCACUACUUCAAUGCACUUACACUCUGUCACAUAUUGCUGAAGGAUUGUCACAGGAUCGUACAUGGUAUUCGCUAAUGCACAUGCCAGCUUUAGAACCGUUGCAGGUUCAGCUGAGCUGAUGUUUACCUCGGCCCUCUAAGAUAUUUAAUUGUUUUUCAAUAAAGUAAGAAUGAUAAAACAGUAUGCAAUGGAUCUACGCAUAGAAGAGUAGCAACUCAGAACACAUUCAGUAACAUUUGCUAUCGGGAUGGGCAGUUGUAUAGUGGAAUGGAAUGGAAGGAAGACAAGUCUAUACUCUUGUCCAUACGCAUACACACACAGGCUAACUUACCAUAAAUAAAUAAAUAGAACACACAUCCCGAGCUCCUCAUAAGACAAAAAGAAGGAUGGUAAUUUACCAGAGACAGGUGUUGGGAAAAAUGGACUGUGUCUAACAGAAACAGUUGGAAUAUAUAUUCUUAUUAUUUUAUAGUGUUUUGUUUUGUUGGGGUUCAGGAAGUAAGCAAUGCAUAGCCAGGCCUUCAAAUGCAACCUUUCUUUCCCAGCAGUUAGAACAAGGAGAGAACUAUAGGAGCCCAAGCAAACCAAAAACACACUAACUUACUCUAUUAGCUGACACAACAGUAUGCUUGCCUAGUUUACAUACCUAACGUGUAUAUUCUCCAUUUUUGAGCAACUACAUCACAAGAGUUCUUAUUAGUAUUUGAAAUAAUAAUUAGAAAUAUUAAGAUCUAGAAUUCUGUGAAAUCAAUCAAAUAAUAGCAAAUAAAUUAGGAACUGGCUCAUUCACUUCUUGUGAAGCUUCUACGUAAAACUGGUUUGUUGUUUUUAAGGAAACAGCAUGCUAGGUCUGCUGAAAACUUAAGAUGUUUCUUACACCUGUGAAUUUCUGCUUGUGUCUUCCUACUCCUCUGACUCCCAUCUUAUUAGCUGGAGUUGAGAUGUAGGUUUGGAGCUGCACUGUGAUGUUUUAUCUCCUUCUGACUCAUGCGUCGCUCUGCCCCCUCAGCUUGCACUCACAUAGGUGCAACAUCAAAAGCAGGCCUGAACCUCUGUCUGUUACCAUACUGUGUUAAAGGAUGUGUGGUCAUUCUGCUUUUGCUCAUGCUGUGUUACUAGUAUUUCAAAAUUGUCCAUAAUGGGGAAGUCACUCCCCCCCCCAUCACUGCUUGUGCUAAUAGAACAACUGCCAUAGUGCCUGUGGCGCGACUUGAACUCGUGGAGAGACUUAGAAUCUGGCAAAACAUGGGCAUGCCUGGGAGGAGCUGGAAUAGCAUACGGCUCAGAAGCCAUGCAGCAGUUUCCAAUACUGUGUGAUUUAUCUGAACAGUUGCUGCUGGACCAAAUUCUGCUUAAACAAAGCUGUAAAUACAAGAAAGCUGUUGUACUAUUAAGGUCGGUCACUGAAUAGUAAUUACUGAAGGGCCACUGGGUAAAUUAGUAGCUCAGCUGAGCCCACUCUGCUGGAUUCAACUGGUUAGGUUGUACUAGAGAGGCAGGGCUACUUAGUGAAUGAAUAUAGUGGUCCUCAUAAAUAUCCUUGAAAUAUACUUGGAGUCAAGAGUGGAUUUCAUGCUCUUUAUUCAGCUCAUAGGGGUGAGGAGGAACGGAGUUCCCCCAGAAUGUCUGCCUUAUAUGUAUUAUUUACACAACGGGCCCCAUGUGAUUGGCUAAUUCCAGGAUUCUCCUGUAGGCCAAUCAGGUUGCGGAUUCCCUUCCACCUGGAGCUGGAUUGGGUGGAUCCUGUGGGCCAAUCAGACUGCUGCAUUCUGGAUCCUAUUCAACUCAGUACAUAACACCCCUAAAUCUGUAAAACUGAAUCCAUUCAUGGUAAUCUAGUUCAGUUGUAUCUAAAGAUUCAUCAUUUGAUCUAUAACCUUACCUUUCAAAGGGCUCAUGGUUGGUAAAUUGUGAAGAAGGGAACCCUUGCAAGGAUCUUAAAUCCCUGGGCCUUCAUCCUGUUGUUCAAGGUUGUUUGUUGCCACCAGCUUGUCACUUAACAAUUCUGCAGGCUAAUGCUAUGGAUUGGCACACAGUUGGGAUGAGUAAAUCCCAUUACUUCACCAAAUUGUGCCCAGGAACAUUGCUAAGGCAGAUGUGGUUGUCCUUGCAUACAUUUUCAAGUCCAAUGCAGAAAACCAGCAACCCCCAAAACAUAAACAUAGGGCUAGAUUUAUAGAAGUCAAUGGAUUUUUCCACAUGAAGUGAUUUCAGGAUUGCAGAAAUAGUAGUCUUGUUAAUAUGAAGAUACUCUUGUAUGCCUAAGUAAUCUAAGUUUGUAUGGAGACAGAUAUGUAAAUACAUAUGUUUGUGCUCUGGAGACACACAUACACAAACACACAUACAUACAUAUUGUUAAGUAAAUUGAAACACUGCUGGUUUAGAGAGAUUAACAGAUGGCUUGAAUGUCUUUUGAUUGUGCCCAUAUUGGGGGCAGGGGAAACCCACUCACGCUGAAGUUAUUGGAUAUCUCCAGUGCAGAAGCUUCAAUGGCAGCUGAAUCAAGUCUUGGAGUUGAUGUGCCAGGAAUUGCCCUCUCCUACAAACUGGAGCCCCUUUGAAAAUCAUAAUGAGCUCCAGACAUGGAGGAAAAAAUCCUGAAAAAUCAUGAUCUUUGAGCUGAGUGAGGCUGCUUUCAGAUAUUUACCCACUAAUUCAUACAUGUCAAAUUAUUUUGGUGGGUAUUUCCUUAUUCCAGGUUUUCUCCAUAGAGGAAAUAUGUAUUAUUAUUUGUCAUCAUUAGAUAAUUUCCUUAACUGGAUGCCAAGAACACAUUUUAAUCUGGGAUGUAUUGCUUGUUAAUUAAUUAAUUUUAUAAUGAAUGAAUUUAGAGUGUUGUUUGUGCUGUACUGUUUUAUUGCUGUUAGCCGUCCUGAGCCCGGCUUCGGCUGGGGAGGGCGGGAUAUAAAUAAAUUAUUAUUAUUAUUAUUAUUAUUAUUAUUAUUAUUAUUGUGAAUGUGAAAGUGGAACAGGAAGAUAAAGAGAAUCAUUUUCUUGUUGGAUGUAAAUUCUAGUUAAUGUUGAUUUUACAUCUCAGUUGUAGACACAUGACAUACAAUUAAUUAAUUAAUCAAUUAAUUAAUUACCAAUGGAUAAGGCCUCCUUGAACAGAUCAUUUGUUGAUGGAAACACAAAAACAGAGCAAUUGGUUUGAGGUUUAUGUAGCUUAUCUUCAGGCAAAAAUUAUCAACAUGAAGAAUAAAGUAAACAGUAAGAAAAAAUAAGUCUUGUGUGGUCUUAGAAGUCCUCCUUAUUCAUAAGAAGUGGGUAUAGGAUUGGAAUACUUGCAUAUUAGUGUGCUGUCAAUUUAAUUAAUUGACAGCACAAUGGUUCUUUUAAAGAUAGGGCUAUUUUUUCAUCUUCAUUUUAGGUUGGAUAAAGGUAGUUUACUACAUUAAUGCUGUUUUGUUGAUUGAGAAAAAUAUAGUCAAAUUCUUGCAUUUUCAUUUUGAAGUAUCAAAAUAGUAAUACUAUCUUGAUUUUCAAGGAUUAAAUCCUCCAAGCCCCAGUGUUGGGCAAGCAAGAUCUAUUUGUUUCAGCUGGAAUUGUCCUUAUUUUUGGGUAAUCCUAUUGCAAUGAAGGGCACAUAUGCCACAAAAGUGUUUGGCGAUCUGUAUUAAUGAAUUGCACACAUACUAGGUGGUGUAUGAUUUAAAGUGCCACUUCUACUGUUUGGUCUGUGGAACCAAACUGAAGUACAGUGAGUCCAUGGUUUUACAAUUAAAAAUGCUUAUUUUAUUGAAUAGCUUUAAGGAAUAACAUCGUUGCUUUAAGAGGCAAUGACAAGGUAUGGUCUUGGACAUACUUAGGCUGCAGAAAAAGACCUGAGAGGCUGUAAAGGGGAGACAAACACUGAUGUAUUAUUUUGUUCCUUGUAUUCACUAGAUCAGUUGAAGAAAGAUCAACCUUGAAAAGAAAUGCAAUAUUUUAAAUAUUAUGCCUUCACUUUAACACAGCAGAACUACUUCUCCAACAAUGGUGUCUGCUGUGACAUCACAUCCAUUAAAUAAAAACAAAGUAUGUUUUUUCUUCUUCUUCAGUGCUUUUGCCUUUAUACAGAUACACAGUUUUAAUUCAAUAAUACAUUUAAAUGAAAUAGGUAAGAUUAGUCAACUAUGAUUUAGUCUGGUGACAUUCCUGUUUUCUGUACAAUGUCAUACCAGCCUCUCUAUACCCUGACACGCAUUAGCAGGCUUUAUUAUUCUAUUCUGUGUUAUGGACUGCCAUUCCAUGGUCAUACUGUUCCAGAAAAUGUAAUUCCGUUUCUGUGCCUAACGUUAAGAAGUUAAGAUUAUGCCACCAACAUCUCACUCCUAGCAGCACUUUUAUCCCAGAAUAAUCCCUGUAAUACACAGUACCAAUCAUUCAAAGUUUUGGAGCUCAGCUUGAAUCUCGUUUUUUCAGGUCCUGAGCAAGGCAGACAGAAAGGAGUAUGCAGCAACCAUAAUAUGGUACAAAUGCUACUAUCAUUAAAACUUGUGGACUUGCAUAUUUUGGGGAAUUAUAAUAUACUAAAACUAGUUUUUCUCUGAAUUUACCAUUCUUAAUUGCUGUUAUUCCAUUUGUGGAAUUAUUGUGGCACUAUAAUUCUGCUUCAGAACAGUACAGUACAUUAAUUCCACUUUUUCCCUGUAUGCUGAGAAUCAUCGUUCUGUUUUGUGCUGUUUUCCUACUUUGGGGAUCUUUUACUUCAUUGUUCUUGUGGUCAUUCCACUAUGGUCACUGCAUAAACCUAAAUCGUGGCCAUUCCCUAUGAGUCCUCUUUGGUGUUUCUCCACCUUUCAAUUCAGGUUUGGCUCUCAUUUUCACUGUAGUUUCUCAGGCCAUCAUGACCCAUAGAAAUGUAAUUUUUAAUCUAUGGGCAAUUGAGUAAGAGUUUCUUUGGCACUGAAGGAGAUAAUUAAUUAAUUAAUUAAUUAAUUAAUGAGAUCGUUUUCCUUGGGGUAGAUGCACUGAAAUUAAAGGAUCUAACUUAUGUCAUGUCAAUUUCAGUGGAUCCACUCCGAGUAAAAUUUAGCAGAAUACCGCCAAGCUCUAUUGUGGCAGAAAAGAGGUCAUGGUUUUAACAUACUGAAUAAUGAGUGUUAAAACAAAUCGGUUCACACACAAUGUAGACCAGUAGAAAUCAAUGGUCUUUUAAGACCAUUAGUUUCAGUGGACCUAUUCCCAGCAUGACUAGCUUUAACUAUCACCCAUUGACUUCAACCACCAGGGUUGAUUUUGUGCGAAUCAAAGCUCAAAACUGUGUGAUUCCUGUGCUAGCACUAUUAGCAUUCUGUGCUUGCUAAAUUUCAAGUUAUUUCGAAACUACCGACAUGUUCUGCCUUUUGUACACCUGUCAUUUCCAACGUUCUCCGUUUUGCUGUUCUGGGAUGUCGGCUGUGUAGUAAGCCGCUUUGGGCACACAGCUGGUCGCGGGAUAGCGGCAUAUAAGUACAAAACCGAUCGGCUGGAAAGGACCAGGCACCCAUCGGGAGGCUUCCAGCGUCUGCCCCACCGUCCGACGGCGGUGUUAAGAAAAAGACCCCCCCUCUGGGGUCUCUCAGUCCUGGGGGGAGCGCUGACUUUAAAC